UGGGGAAUUUUGGACAAUGGGGGAAACCCUGAUCCAGCCAUCCCGCGUGUGCGAUGAAGGCCUUCGGGUUGUAAAGCACUUUUGGCAGGAAAGAAACGUCGCGGGUUAAUACCCCGCGAAACUGACGGUACCUGCAGAAUAAGCACCGGCUAACUACGUGCCAGCAGCCGCGGUAAUACGUAGGGUGCAAGCGUUAAUCGGAAUUACUGGGCGUAAAGCGUGCGCAGGCGGUUCGGAAAGAAAGAUGUGAAAUCCCAGAGCUUAACUUUGGAACUGCAUUUUUAACUACCGGGCUAGAGUGUGUCAGAGGGAGGUGGAAUUCCGCGUGUAGCAGUGAAAUGCGUAGAUAUGCGGAGGAACACCGAUGGCGAAGGCAGCCUCCUGGGAUAACACUGACGCUCAUGCACGAAAGCGUGGGGAGCAAACAGGAUUAGAUACCCUGGUAGUCCACGCCCUAAACGAUGUCAACUAGCUGUUGGGGGCCUUUCGGGCCUUGGUAGCGCAGCUAACGCGUGAAGUUGACCGCCU
rnacentral:rRNA from 1 species